rnacentral:rRNA from 1 species
CGCACGGCUAUUAUACAGCUAUAAUGUACUUGAUGUUGAUUAUCCAACGUGGAUAACUGUGGCAAUUCUAGAGCUAAUACAUGCACCAAAGCUCCGACUUUUGAACGAGCGCAUCUAUUAGAUUAAAACCAAUCGGGUUAUUAGCCCGUUAAUUGGUGACUCUGAAUAGCUAUGGCUGAUCGCAUGGUCUUGUACCGGCGACGUAUCUAUCAAGUGUCUGCCUUAUCAACUUUCGAUGGUAGUUUAUGUGCCUACCAUGGUUGUAACGGGUAACGGAGAAUAAGGGUUCGACUCCGGAGAGGGAGCCUGAGAAACGGCUACCACAUCCAAGGAAGGCAGCAGGCGCGCAAAUUACCCACUCUCAGAAUGAGGAGGUAGUGACGAAAAAUAACGAGACCGUUCUCUUUGAGGCCGGUUAUCGGAAUGGGUACAAUUUAAACCUGUUAACGAGGAUCUAUGAGAGGGCAAGUCUGGUGCCAGCAGCCGCGGUAAUUCCAGCUCUCAAAGUGUAUAUCGUCAUUGCUGCGGUUAAAAAGCUCGUAGUUGGAUCUGCGUCUCAGGACCUGGUCCAUCCAUUGGAUGAGAACUGGGCUCCUAGGCUAAUAUUGCCAGUUUUCCAUACGUUACCUUGAUUGGUUGCGUAUGGUGGCUAGCAAGUUUACCUUGAAAAAAUUAUAGUGCUCAAUGCGGGCUAAUGCCUGAAUACUCGUGCAUGGAAUAAUGAAAUAGGAUCUCGGUUCUAUUUUGUUGGUUUUCUGAUCUGAGAUAAUGGUUAAGAGGGACGGACGGGGGCAUUUCUUAUCGCUGCGUGAGAGGUGAAAAUUCUUGGACCGUAGCGA